GUAAUUGCUCUAAAGGAACACGUGACUUAUUUUGACCAAUUACAUUUGAUAAUUGGCACUAAAUUUGCCGAUCCUUCACGCGCCAUGUUUAAAUGGAUUUUUUCCUAAUACCACAGAAUAUGUAUCUAUUCUGUGCUAAUACAGUCUUUAUCGUAUUGAAAAAUCUUUCGCGUACUGAGCAAACUUGUUGUCGACAAGCCAAGCAGAGAGUCUCACGGCUUGCUUUCUUUGGUACAAGGUGUUUUUGGUGGUGUUAGUCGUAUAUCGAGUCGCAAGAAAGAAUCGUUUUGAAGAACUGUUUGGAAUCACCUGUGUACGAUACAUACAUAAUAAAGCAUGUUACAUCUAAACAGCCCGACUAAAAGGUGAACAGGAAACAACGACAGCAAGUGCAAUGGCAGAACAACGAUGAAAUUGAAUUUAACAAAGUGAGCAUUUGUCGAGAAGAAUUUGGGUAUAUAAACCGAUCAACUGCUAGAACUUUGGAUAAAAGUCAACGUUGAUGUUGGGAAAGAAUUUGCUGUUGACUGAACGAUAUUCUCAGCGUGGAUUGCACGCAAAUUAUUAACUGUCAAAGCGGAAUUAUUACGAAUUAAAUUACUACGAGUGAACUACGACAAGUGCCAUUGGGUUGAUAAAGCUAAUAUCGACAGCAGCCGCUAAAAGAAAUCUGUAUGGCUUAGCCGUAAGAAAACAUGCUGCUUUUGAAACACUUGUCUCUUUGAUUUUCUAAAGAAGACAUAAGUAACUAUAGAUGUUUUACUAAUGUAUUAUUAAACUAACAUUAAUAUAAAUGUAUAUAUUUGUGUAACUCUUUCACACUAUAUAUGUACACUCCUUCUUCGUGUAAUUUUUACGAAUGUGAUUUUUGGUUUGUUGCUUUAUCUUUAGCUGGAAGUGUUCUGCUAUAAUUUUGAUUCGAGUCCUUCAAUGGUCUAUUUUUUUUGCAUUAAAUCCUUCAAGGUAGGAAUGGCACUUUAAAAUGACCAGGUGUCUUCAACGAACUCUCUGGUCUAGUGGAUAGACACAACCUUUCGAGGUUGAGAGUGGAGGUUCGAGCCCUGUCUGGAAAAAGAUGUAACUAUGCUAAGGAUGAAUAAGAAAUAGGAAAAUAAGGAAAUAGUGCUGGUUAAUAGAACAAAAAUGGGAUUUCUAUUACUAAACUUUUCGAGAAUGGAAUGCGACACUUAGUAUAAAUUCA